AUGGAGGCCUUCAUGGCCUCUACCACCGACCUCCAGGGCUUCCCCUGGGCGCCGCCGCCCGCCGCAGCGGCGGCUGGAGGGGGCCAAGUGCCUUCCCCUCAGUCCGCCGUCACGUCAUCCGCGCCGGCGGCACCGCCGGCGUAUUUUAACCAGGAGACGCUCCAGCGGCGGCUCCUGACGGUGAUCGAGGGCGCGAGGGAGACCUGGACUUACGCCAUCUUCUGGCAGUCAUCGGUGGACGUGGCCUCCGGCGCUUCGCUGCUCGGCUGGGGCGAUGGCUACUACAAGGGAUGCGAGGAGGACAAGCGGAA
rnacentral:lncRNA from 1 species